rnacentral:rRNA from 1 species
AACGAACGCUGGCGGCAUGCCUAACACAUGCAAGUCGAACGAGACCUUCGGGUCUAGUGGCGAACGGGUGCGUAACGCGUGGGAACCUGCCCUUAGGUUCGGAAUAACUCCCCGAAAGGGGUGCUAAUACCGGAUAAUGUCUUCGGACCAAAGAUUUAUCGCCUUUGGAUGGGCCCGCGUUGGAUUAGCUAGUUGGUAGGGUAAAAGCCUACCAAGGCGACGAUCCAUAGCUGGUCUGAGAGGAUGAUCAGCCACACUGGGACUGAGACACGGCCCAGACUCCUACGGGAGGCAGCAGUGGGGAAUAUUGGACAAUGGGCGAAAGCCUGAUCCAGCAAUGCCGCGUGAGUGAUGAAGGCCUUAGGGUUGUAAAGCUCUUUUACCCGGGAUGAUAAUGACAGUACCGGGAGAAUAAGCUCCGGCUAACCCCGUG